UNUUAGCCUAAUAAACAGAGAGUAAUUGAC
rnacentral:piRNA from 1 species